rnacentral:rRNA from 1 species
GGCUCAGGACGAACGCUGGCGGCGUGCUUAACACAUGCAAGUCGAACGGUGAUCUCGAGAGCUUGCUCUUGGGUGAGCAGUGGCGAACGGGUGAGUAACACGUGAGUAACCUGCCCCUGACUCUGGAAUAAGCGCUGGAAACGGCGUCUAAUACCGGAUACGAGACGCAACCGCAUGGUUAGUGUCUGGAAAGUUUUUCGGUCUGGGAUGGACUCGCGGCCUAUCAGCUUGUUGGUGAGGUAAUGGCUCACCAAGGCGAUGACGGGUAGCCGGCCUGAGAGGGCGACCGGCCACACUGGGACUGAGACACGGCCCAGACUCCUACGGGAGGCAGCAGUGGGGAAUAUUGCACAAUGGGCGAAAGCCUGAUGCAGCGACGCCGCGUGAGGGAUGACGGCCUUCGGGUUGUAAACCUCUUUCAGCAGGGAAGAAGCGAAAGUGACGGUACCUGCAGAAGAAGCACCGGCUAACUACGUGCCAGCAGCCGCGGUAAUACGUAGGGUGCGAGCGUUGUCCGGAAUUAUUGGGCGUAAAGAGCUUGUAGGCGGUUUGUCGCGUCUGCUGUGAAAAUCCGGGGCUCAACCCCGGACUUGCAGUGGGUACGGGCAGACUAGAGUGUGGUAGGGGAGACUGGAAUUCCUGGUGUAGCGGUGAAAUGCGCAGAUAUCAGGAGGAACACCGAUGGCGAAGGCAGGUCUCUGGGCCACUACUGACGCUGAGAAGCGAAAGCAUGGGGAGCGAACAGGAUUAGAUACCCUGGUAGUCCAUGCCGUAAACGUUGGGAACUAGGUGUGGGUCUCAUUCCACGAGAUCCGUGCCGCAGCUAACGCAUUAA